GUCCACGCGGUAAACGAUGGGCACUAGGUGUUCGGGGUAUUGACCCCCUGAGUGCCGCAGCUAACGCAUUAAAGUGCCCCGCCUGGGGACUACGGCCGCAAGGUUAAAACUCAAAGGAAUUGACGGGGCCCGCACAAGCGGUGGAGCAUGUGGUUCAAUUCGACGCAACGCGAAGAACCUUACCUGGGCUAGACAACAUCGGACAGCCCCAGAAAUGGGGUCUUCCCGCAAGGGACCGGUGGUUCAGGUGCUGCAUGGCUGUCGU
rnacentral:rRNA from 1 species